rnacentral:misc_RNA from 1 species
AAGUCGUAACAAGGUUUCCGUAGGUGAACCUGCGGAAGGAUCAUUAUUGAAUAAACUUGGAUUUAGUUGUUGCUGGCUCUUAGGGGCAUGUGCACACUAGAUUCAUUUUUUCAACCUCCUGUGCAUCUUUUGUAGGCCUGAAUACUUCUCGAGGAAGCCUUCCUCGGUCUGAGAAUUUGCUGUGUGAAAGCCCAGCUUUUCUUGUGUUUCUGGUCUAUGUUUAUAUAUACACCCCGAAUAAUGUAAAUAGAAUGUUGCAAUAGGACUUAGUGCCUUUAAAAAACAAAUACAACUUUCAACAACGGAUCUCUUGGCUCUC